GAUGAACGCUGGCGGCGUGCCUAAUACAUGCAAGUCGAGCGAACAGACGAGGAGCUUGCUUCUCUGACGUUAGCGGCGGACGGGUGAGUAACACGUGGAUAACCUACCUAUAAGACUGGGAUAACUUCGGGAAACCGGAGCUAAUACCGGAUAAUAUAUUGAACCGCAUGGUUCAAUAGUGAAAGACGGUUUUGCUGUCACUUAUAGAUGGAUCCGCGCCGCAUUAGCUAGUUGGUAAGGUAACGGCUUACCAAGGCAACGAUGCGUAGCCGACCUGAGAGGGUGAUCGGCCACACUGGAACUGAGACACGGUCCAGACUCCUACGGGAGGCAGCAGUAGGGAAUCUUCCGCAAUGGGCGAAAGCCUGACGGAGCAACGCCGCGUGAGUGAUGAAGGUCUUCGGAUCGUAAAACUCUGUUAUUAGGGAAGAACAAAUGUGUAAGUAACUAUGCACGUCUUGACGGAACCUAAUCAGAAAGCCACGGCUAACUACGUG
rnacentral:rRNA from 1 species